GGCAGAAGGAGAAACGGGCAGAAGCUGAGAGGAAGCUUCCGAGUGGAGGUCGAGUUGGAAUCGGUCGAGAGCGGUAAACAAGGAGGCGAGAGUGGCGACGAAACGAGGUUGGCCGAGCAGCCGCGAGAGGAACUAGCCAGGAGGGCGAUCAACAUCGGCUCCGAUCGCGUGUUUCACACCGCUCCCGAUCUCUCCGACCAACUCUCGUGCGCCACUGUUUUAUUUCCUUCCUUCUCGCUCCCUUGGCUAGACUCCAUUUCUUCUGUUUCUCUCUGUCUAUCUUAUUCUCCCCCUGUUCCUCUCGCCGAGCCAUUUUUACACCCUGAUUCCCCUACUCACCCCACGAAGACAACACGCUGCAAGUACAUAUGCGCACGAUUUUCACAUUUGUCGACGCCAGUAUCACACAGACCAUUGAUAUCGUUUGGACACACUCGAACGCGAAACCAUCCGAUUCGUUCACCGCGCUUGGCCGAAUCGAUCUUUAUCCAGCCUUAGAGGAAACUCGACAGACGAACGAUAUAUCUAUAAUCGAUGGUAUGUCAUGCAACAUCCGAGGUAAACGAUCGCGCACUUCCUUUACAUCUUUAUUCGUAAGCGUUUACUAGCGUCCGUUCGCUACGCCUCCGAUGCUUUCGUUUAUGCGUUCGGUUUAUUUACCGCGUUAGACAGAAGAAACGGUGGAACGCGCGCCGCGAGUCCAACCGACUAGAGUGACCAGACCACUGACAGCGACUACUAAACAGACGAUCAAUGAGAAUCGAAAGCGGCGUUCAAAGUGAAUGCUCGAUUCGACUGUCCUGUGUAUAUGGCGCGCAUUCGUGCAGGAGGAAAGAGUCCUGGUGAAACGAGGACUCGAAUACCGAGCUUCCAUUGUACACAAAAGGCAUUGGCGGUAGACGAUAAGGAACACGCGUCUUCCGAAUUCGCUGUUUAGCCCGAUUCUGUGCUGCUCGUAAAAUACAACGUAGGCCACGUUGUUGGAUAAAUACGACGACGCCGUGACCGAAAUUCAACGACUCGUGUGGCCAUGCGUUUUAUGAAAGAAAAUACCAUGAAAUUCACUUACCGUGUCAACGUGGAACAAAGGUGAAUCCUGGAUGUUCGCCGGUGAGAAACGUCUUCGACUUCGUAGACUGAUCGAAAGUCGAUUGAUGACACUGGAUAUCGGUCAACACCGGGAACACUUGUUCUAUGUAAACACGCGUAUCAGUCACUACACACGUAAACACAUACGCACAGAAAGAGAGGAACACACGAGGUUGUCCGCGGUCGAGUUCUCAGAGAGACCGACGAACUUGGUUAAACCGCACUAAAAUACCACGCACGCGACCGUGUUUCGCGAGACACACGGCGAACGAUCUAUCCGCGUGCGGUGCUAUUCAUUCUGAGCCGACGUAUCGCGUUUGUUCACCAGAAAAAUCACGAUUACUCGGGACGCAGAUUCCCCGCAUGAGUCGCACACAAGUUGUUUACUAGAACGCGCACCACGCCAUGCCCCGUGAACGCGCGUCCGCCUCCGUAUUCCCCUCGUCCCGCCGAGCAAAACAAGACUCUGCGCAGUAGCCUCGCGCGCACCUUCCGGGCCAUGUUCGCACGAGGCGAUGUAUGCGCCGUUUGUCGUUGCCUCGUGGUCCACCAAGGCGCCGCUGUUCCACUGCGAACCUCCCUCUCUCGCUCUACCUUCCUCUCUCUGUCCCUCUUUCGUUUCCUAUCUCUCUCUUUCUUUCUACAGAGAGACAGCUCGCGCGCACGCUAUCUCCCUCUCGCUCCAACUUUCGCUCGUUCUCGUUUUCCUCGACCUCUCCGUCUCUCUUCCUGAGAUUAGCUCGCUUGUUCGUCUCUGUCCCCCUCCAUUUUCCCGAACCUUGCUCAAACUCUAUCGUUGGGUCCAUACCAUAACCGUGCUAUAUGCUCCGACGAGGCAUAACGGCCAAACAGAAUUCAACGGAUCUCGCCUUACGUUCUAUAACGCAACCACGAUUCGCCACGUAACGCGUAAAUCAAGCAGGUCAUCGUACCCUCGCGUUGCCACCACGCCGGUCCGUUUUGUUGGAAAUUUCCAAGGGCAUGCCGCACCCCUGCGACGACAUCUGUACGAGAAUCUAUAGAAAUAGCAGCUGCAUCGAUAAAGACGACUCCAAAUGUGUACGUUAUCGCACGAGUAAAUAAUUAGCGGGAAAAUUCAAGUCGCUCUCAGAGCUCUCAAUUCGCAUUACGUAUAAGGACUUCUUUUUUUUUUAUUUUUUUUUAAUAACGUGUUAUACAGCUUUAUCGCAAAAAUUUCAUUGGCAGUACGUUUCUUUGCGUGAAGGUUGGCAAAUAUGAAAAUGAAAUGACUUUUGAUUAUAAGAUGAGACUUAUGAGGAUCACAGGAAUAGAAACGAUCUUUGCUGUCUUAUGAAAUUCUUAUCAACAUCUUUAAGUUAAACAUCGUGAAACAGAAAAUAGCGUGACGAGCCCCAAGGACAUGGAGAGAACGCAAACAAGGGCCAAGGUGUCUCUGUUGUAAUUUGGACAAAGCUCCGGUUGCGUACACCUCC